rnacentral:lncRNA from 1 species
CAGUUGGUCUCAAGGGAAAAGGGCUGUACAUAUCUGUGGGCUCUUCCUCCUGCUCCUGUCACCACAACAACUAGUGUGUGGAGCACAACUAGCCUGACCCUCUAAAUGCAGCAGUCCAAUCCCCUAAAAAAGUGGAGUCUCACUCUGUCGCCCAGGCUGGAGUGCAAUGGCGCGAUCUUAGCUCACUGCAAGCUCCGCCUCCCAGGUUCACGCCAUUCUCCUGCCUCAGCCUCCGGAGCAGUUGGGACUACAGGAGCCCGCUACCACGCCCGGCUAAUUGUUUUUGUAUUUUUAGUAGAAACGGGGUUUCACCGUGUUAGCCAGGAUGGUCUCAAUCUCCUGACCUCGUGAUGCGCCCGCCUCGGCCUCCCAAAGUGCUGGGAUUACAGGCGUGAGCCACCGCGGCCGGCCAGCAUAGGAAGCUGUUUCCCGCAUUAAAACAUGGUAUGUAUAGAAAACUCAAACAGGAAGACAAAACAUCAAGAAAAUUUUUAAGAUACAGGGGUAAUAAUUCAUUCAAUAAAUCCGGUAAUAUCCUAAAAACUUAUUUUCUUAAAUUUAAUCUCCUGUGGUUAUCAGCAAGAUGUAUGCACUGUUAACAAUGAAAACAUAGAAAUCUGCUGGCAAAAUUUAACCUGAAAAUAAGUUAUGAAAAAGAAAU